GAGAAGGAAGAGGCUCCUUGCACAGGUACAAACAUGUGCCUGCAGACGGAACUGCUCCCAGUGGUAAAAUGCAGUUUGGCCGGAGGAAGAACUGCAAGCCAAGGGCCAGCUGACAAUGGGAACCCGGCUCUUCCUGGCACCUGGGACUGUGUUCUGUUGGAAGCAGCAGUCCGGGGAGCUGCUGACUUGUAGCAGCAACUGUGGAUGAAGGAUCCUUAAUCGGGAGCUUUGGUUCGUAUUCCCAUUUCCAACACAGCCUCCAGAGACCACGGGUGUGUGCAUAACUUGGGAAGAGGAAAGGCUCCACAGGUGAGAUGGAGAAGCUGCACAGCCAAAUCACUGAAACCCAAAGAAUUAAUCAGGUGAAG